rnacentral:rRNA from 1 species
GUGAGGAAUAUUGCGCAAUGGACGAAAGUCUGACGCAGCAACGCCGCGUGGGCGAAGAAGGCCUUCGGGUUGUAAAGCCCUUUUCUGAGGGACGAGAGAGGACGGUACCUCAGGAAUAAGUCUCGGCUAACUACGUGCCAGCAGCCGCGGUAAAACGUAGGAGGCGAGCGUUAUCCGGAUUUAUUGGGCGUAAAGCGCGUGCAGGUGGUAUCGUAAGUCGGAUGUGAAAGCCUCUGGCUCAACUGGAGGAUGUCGUUCGAUACUGCGGAACUUGAGGUCGGGAGGGGGAAGCGGAAUUCCCGGUGUAGUGGUGGAAUGCGUAGAUAUCGGGAGGAACACCAGUGGCGAAGGCGGCUUCCUGGCCCGCACCUGACACUAAGACGCGAAAGCGUGGGGAGCGAACGGGAUUAGAAACCCUAGUAGUCC